AACGAACGCUGGCGGCAGGCUUAACACAUGCAAGUCGAGCGCCCCGCAAGGGGAGCGGCAGACGGGUGAGUAACACGUGGGAACCUUCCUAGGGGUACGGAACAACUCAGGGAAACUUGAGCUAAUACCGUAUACGUCCGUGAGGAGAAAGAUUUAUCGCCCUUAGACGGGCCCGCGUCGGAUUAGGUAGUUGGUGGGGUAACGGCCUACCAAGCCUACGAUCCGUAGCUGAUCUGAGAGGAUGAUCAGCCACACUGGGACUGAGACACGGCCCAGACUCUUACGGGAGGCAGCAGUGGGGAAUCUUGGACAAUGGGCGAAAGCCUGAUCCAGCCAUGCCGCGUGAGUGAAGAAGGCCUUAGGGUUGUAAAGCUCUUUUGCCAGGGACGAUAAUGACGGUACCUGGAGAAUAAGCCCCGGCAAACUUCGUGCCAGCCGCCGCUGUAAUAC
rnacentral:rRNA from 1 species